rnacentral:rRNA from 1 species
GUGCCAGCCGCCGCGGUAAUACGAGAGGGGCAAGCGUUAUUCGGAAUGAUUGGGCGUAAAGAGCACGUAGACGGCCGCCUCCACCCCCCUCGCGAUGCGGGGUAGAGCACACCUGUGCCCCUAGGGGGGGGUGCCAGCGCGGCUGGAGUGAGCGGGAGGAGAGUGGAAUUCCUGGAGGAGCGGUAAAAUGUGUUGAUUUCAGGAGGAACACCAAAAGCGAAGGCAAUUCUCUACCGCUCCACUGACGUUGAGGUGCGAAAGCGUGGGGAUCAAAAGGGAUUAGAUACCCUUGUAGUCC